UACGUAGGGUGCGAGCGUUGCCCGGAGUUAUUGGGCGUAAAGCGCGCGCAGGCGGUGCGGUAAGUCUCUGGUGAAAGCGCUCGGCUUAACUGGGCGAGGGCCGGGGAGACUGCCACGCUGGAGGGGAGCAGAGGCGAGUGGAAUUCCGGGUGUAGUGGUGAAAUGCGUAGAGAUCCGGAGGAACACCAGUGGCGAAGGCGGCUCGCUGGGCUCUACCUGACGCUGAGGCGCGAAAGCGUGGGGAGCGAACCGG
rnacentral:rRNA from 1 species